rnacentral:rRNA from 1 species
AUUGAACGCUGGCGGCAGGCUUAACACAUGCAAGUCGAGCGGUAGCACAGGGGAGCUUGCUCCCUGGGUGACGAGCGGCGGACGGGUGAGUAAUGUCUGGGAAACUGCCUGAUGGAGGGGGAUAACUACUGGAAACGGUAGCUAAUACCGCAUAACGUCGCAAGACCAAAGAGGGGGACCUUCGGGCCUCUUGCCAUCAGAUGUGCCCAGAUGGGAUUAGCUAGUAGGUGGGGUAAUGGCUCACCUAGGCGACGAUCCCUAGCUGGUCUGAGAGGAGAACCAGCCACACUGGAACUGAGACACGGUCCAGACUCCUACGGGAGGCAGCAGUGGGGAAUAUUGCACAAUGGGCGCAAGCCUGAUGCAGCCAUGCCGCGUGUGUGAAGAAGGCCUUCGGGUUGUAAAGCACUUUCAGCGAGGAGGAAGGUGGUGAGCUUAAUACGUUCAUCAAUUGACGUUACUCGCAGAAGAAGCACCGGCUAACUCCGUG